rnacentral:rRNA from 1 species
UAGGGAAUCUUCCGCAAUGGGCGAAAGCCUGACGGAGCAACGCCGCGUGAGUGAUGAAGGUCUUCGGAUCGUAAAACUCUGUUAUUAGGGAAGAACAAAUGUGUAAGUAACUAUGCACGUCUUGACGGUACCUAAUCAGAAAGCCACGGCUAACUACGUGCCAGCAGCCGCGGUAAUACGUAGGUGGCAAGCGUUAUCCGGAAUUAUUGGGCGUAAAGCGCGCGUAGGCGGUUUUUUAAGUCUGAUGUGAAAGCCCACGGCGCAACCGUGGAGGGUCAUUGGAAACUGGAAAACUUGAGUGCAGAAGAGGAAAGUGGAAUUCCAUGUGUAGCGGUGAAAUGCGCAGAGAUAUGGAGGAACACCAGUGGCGAAGGCGACUUUCUGGUCUGUAACUGACGCUGAUGUGCGAAAGCGUGGGGAUCAAACAGG